rnacentral:lncRNA from 1 species
CAGCACCACUCUCGAAGAAAUAAAUGCAAGAAGAAUCAGAGAAGAGACAAAAGAGAAAGGGGCCUAGUCUACCACGAAAGAGGCCUACCACGCCUUCGAUCAGUCAGGCCAAAGAAAGCCUAAACCUCUGGUCUUGUCGGUGAUUUAAGAUAGGAUGAAAAAUGAAUCCAUCCAAAGGGAACAUUCCUUCCCCACCCACUGCCUAACCUACUAAAUAGGGUAGAAAAUGCCCUUCAAAAACGACAAAGUAAAAAAUAUCUGAAAUUCGAGAGAAUUGAUUCUAGUUCACCUUCUUUUGCUCAGCAUAAUCUUACUGAUUUUGGCUUCUAUGGCGGAAGGAACUAUCAACGGCCACUACUAAGGACAGAGAGAGGCCAACAUAGUAUUCGAUUGCACGAAACCCAUGUUUUUCAAAGAGAUGCUUCUAGUUGACCCAACAUGCUUCACUGAUCUUCUAUCCUGAAUCGAAGUCCUUUUUUAUUCCUCGUCUUCCCUCCCCCCUCCCCUUUACUGUUUAAGGCGAGUGUCUAAAGACCCGAGUGGUGGAUUUUCUUUUUCACCUGCACGAAAAGUCAGCCUAGUUUGCUUUAUUGCUACGUGCAUAGAGCGCCGGAUGCCACCUCCAGAUAGAAGGACUCCUAGCUAGGUUCAAAGUACUUUCCUUAAAAAUGACAAAAAAAAGAUAAGAAAGCCUUUCUUCUUGUAUUAAUACGCGCCUACAGGCAAGUGACAUACCUAGGUAAGACUUAAAAUUACCCAACCAUACUAACUAAUAGGUAUUACUACUUUGAGAAGGAUAAAACUAACCUACAUAUCUGGUUUAUCUGCCAUCCCUAUCAUAAAUGGAAUAUCCUGUUAAUGUGCUAUCCCUAGUUUACCUUGCUCUUCCAUUUCCAUUUUGAGAGCCAUCAUAGCUCUUUUGGACUUAUACAUACAUACAACACCCUUGUCUCUUUCAGCAUAGACCUUUUUUUCUCUUUGCGAUGCAAAGGCAAUGGCGGGGGAGGCGAGAGAAGGAGAGCAUGUAUGGGUGGUAUGAAAGCCAUAAGCGGAG